ensembl:antisense Macrod2os1 MACRO domain containing 2, opposite strand 1
GAGAAAGUCAAAGGAAAGGUGGUGCAAUUUGUCCUGUGGCUGCUGAAGACUGGAAGGUGCUAGCUGAACAUGAUCACAAGAGGAAAGCUCCGUGCAAAGGGAUUGAUGUGUGCCUUCAGGCUUCCCAGAGAGCAGCCAUACUCCAAGACUGGCCCAUCUAUGAACUCACAGAAAAAUCACCAAGGUUAUGUUUUAUAAAACACCUAACCAAAUGAAGAAAUUAAUCAGUGUCAAUUGGAAUAUCAAAGACAAACAAACUGUCUAUAAAACAGUCUGAAAAAUGUAUGUGAGAGGACUUUGAAAGUGUCCUGCAGAAUACCACCAGUUCCAGCCCAUAAGAGGCAGAGGCAGGAGAGUACCAAGCUUGAGACCACCUUUGGCUACACGUUGAAGCUCAGUUUCAAAAUGAAAGCAAAACCCAAAUCCAAAGCACAAAAUCCCAAUGGUCAGCUAGUCGGCUUAUUCUCUCCUUCCACGAACAGGUUAAAAGCUCUAAUACUGCAGCCCUUAAAUGAGAUGCAGAAGAUGCCUUUUGAAGAGGCCAUGUUCCAGUUAUCAUGUAGAAGAAUGUGAAUUGAUCCAUUCUUAUCUCCUUGUACAAACCUCAAGUCUACGUGGAUCAAAGACCACCAUAUAAGACCAGAGACACUGAAAUUAAUGGAGGAGAAAGUGGGGAAAAUCCUCGAAGAUAUAGGUACAAGGGAAAAAUUCCUAAACAGAACAGCAAUGGCCUGUGCUGUAAGAUCAAUAAUCAACAAAUGGGACCUCAUAAAAUUACAAAGCUUCUGUAGGGCAAAAGAUAAUGUCAAUAAGACAAAAAGGCCACCAACAGAUUGAGAAAGAAUUUUUACCAAUCCUAAAUCUGAUAGGGGGCUAAUAUCCAAUAUAUACAAAGAGCUCAAGAAGCUGAACUCCAGANNNNNNNNNNNNNNNNNNNNNNNNNNNNNNNNNNNNNNNNNNNNNNNNNNNUAUGAGUCUUCUCUCCGAAUUUCCCAGAGGACCCACUUUUACUGCAUCCUUAAAGUGGACUGAGUGGGUCAAAGAAGAUAAGAGCCUACUGAGAAUUUAACUAGCUUGCUUGGUUAUCUAAUAUAUUGAACACAAAAUUUCCAUGAAAAUGCAAAUUAUGAACUGACAAUAACUUUGUGUAUAUUCUUAAGAUCCAAAGUCAUAGGAAUCACAGAACUCUUCAUGGAGCCACCAUUGAGCUGCUCAUAUACAAAUGGGAAGUACAAGAUGCCUAGGAAUCCAGAGCUUUUAGUUCACCACAGGAAGACAAAACUGAUUUCCACGGGAGAAGCUGAAAUCAUACCGAUGCCAGGCCGGCUCUGACUUUGGCCUCUAGUGUUUAAUUUAAGGUCGGUGCUUGUUUUUAUUGCUCCCCCUGAUUUCCUGGAAGACAGACAAAUAAUCUAAAGAAUGUGAGUGCCUGCUUUGAAUUAAACCCACUGAGUCAAAUUACUGAUUGCAAGGCUAGUGGUGAGGAACACAUGGAUCUGCUCUGAGUGGAGUAGAAAGGCCCUGCUCCUCGGUCGCUUGAGAGGAGGCUGUCACACACCCCAGGGGCUUUGCCCAACCUCCCUCUGAUGGACAGCGAUUCUGAGACUGCUCCUUCGCAUUUCAUCAAGAGUGAUGACUCUCAGCCACCUUAAUGUCACGGCUUGGAGGCUCCUGAAGCAAUUGGUUUCGUAGUUUAUUUUGUGAACUGUGCUGUGGACACAAGACUUUGAAAAGUAAAGCUCGAGUUCCAAUCUAAAGAUCUGAAAAGAACAUUUUCAAUCUGUUGGUGCAGACUGUUCUCCAUCAGCCCAGCUGCCAGCAGUUACGCGUGGCACUGGGCAGCCUCACACAGUCGGGCACAGCCGCUCCUCUGGAUGCUGAGGCAAGCCGAGCGCAGAGAUUACCACAUUAUCAUCUCCCGACUGAAGCCAGAGUUCCAUUUAACAAGCUGACAAGAGCGCCAGGACCACAAAAUAACAAGCAGAAACACGGUGUGGUAUUUGUCAAAGAUAAAGGGCUGAGGUGCAGCUUAAGGCUUCUCAGAGGCUCGGGGAAGACAUUCAAAUCAUCUGCCCCAAAUGUUUUCAGUGCCUUGAACUUUCUCCCACAUUGCUCUUAUUUGGGGGUCCCCAUUUUGGUACUGGAUGCUUCCUUCAACUGGCGGCACUCCUUUGAAGAAACUAGAAAUGUCCUCAGAGUCUGUUGAUUUUCCUAACAUGUUUUAAGUUUCUGCACAUGCACUUUGCUUAAAAGGCCAUGCCUACUUUCAGGUCUACAUUAUUGUUAAGCUUUUCUGGAGCUAAUUUUACAAAUUUCUUAUGAACACAUAUAUUUAUAUGCUGGAGGUCCACGUAAUAGUAUACAGCCUCUCUCUCUCUCUCUUUUUUUUCUUCUUGACUUUAAAGAAAGCACAGAGAGAGCUUUGUUUUUAAAAUGUCAUAUGGGGUGGUUAGAAGUAGGGGAAAAUAUAGUGUUUAAGUCAUAAUCUAGCAUGUCUAUCUAUCAUAUUGCUUUUAUUGCAUGAAAUGAUUUUUUAAAAGAAUUUUAGAAUUCUUUUUUUUUUCUUCUGAGUGUUCAAACCUAACAAAUACAACAAAGAAUAUGGUAUAUAUCAGAACU